UCUACCUCUCUCCUCAAACACUCUCUCUCUCUCCUAAACUCCCUACUUCUUCCUCUCUCCUCAAACCCGAUCCAGUUUCUGCCUCUCUCUCCUCAACCUCGCCGCUCAAAUUUUCCUCCGGCAAGGUUCUUGCACAAAAAUUCGGUUUGUAAAUGAGGUUUCGACAACGGAAGAGGGAGAAUCGGGGCCGUAGAAGAGGUGGAGGAGGGUGUCGGAGGUGGAAGCGUCAUUGAAACCGCCGGCGUCACACCCUUGCUACUGUCGCAAUCGAAGCAUCUAUUUCGAAAUCCUUGGAAAGGGAAGCUUGACGGCGGAGGUUUCUGGAGAAACUAGAUUGACGGCGGCGAGGUGGAGGAAGGAGGCGGGACGGUUAGUCGGAGAGGUGUUACGAUGGAGUUGUACAAGCUUUGUUUACUGGUGACAACUUCUGUUUUGGGAACCCUUUUCUCAAAUGGUUUAUAUCUUAGAGGAAACAGAAGAUGGCCCAAACUUGUAUGUUCACCAUGAUAUCAUCAUCUCAGCAUUCCCUUUAUGCACUGCAUGGCUUGACUUUCCACUAAAGGGUGGAAAAAGAGGCAUAUAUUUUCGUGUUCUACGUUGCAGCACUCUUGUUUGAAGCAAAAAGGCUAUUUCUGAAGUAUUUUAUGAAAUACAGGUCGAGUUAUUGCUGUUUUCUGUGCUUGUGUGGGUGUUAUCCUGGAGCAAAAAGGCUAUUUUUAGAUUUCUUAUAUUCUUUUAAUUUUCUUUUCUCCUAGCAAUGCAUUCUUGAGACCCUUGCAGAAGAAUUACUCGAUGAACAAACAGUUCAAACAUGCCUCAGGCAUAGGCUUUGCUGCUUCACACUCUAUUUACACUCGAUAAUACUACCACUCUAGUAUAAUCUUAAUGUUCUAUGAUUUUUUCUGAUAACGAGUCUCGGUUUGUGAAUAAGUUUGUGCUACCAUAUAAGGAAGUCCAUGAAGACUUGGCAUCCAGUAACACUUUUUUUGGGAUGGGUCCUUGCAUGGAUUUCCCCUAUAGAAUAUUGUAACCGUGAGGUCUAGAUGUUGAUGCUCCGGUAUAUCUUUCCGGCUUCGAUACCAUAUUUUUGUUCUUUUGAUAAUUUUUGUAACUUUUAACAUUCUGGAAUUUUUUUUAAAUUGACUGUCACUAUAUUUGCAUUUUGUGUUUUUGUAGUAUUAAAAGCUGCU